GAACUACUUGCAUUAUAGUAUAAUUGGAAAUGAUUGUUCCAGUGCCUUCAUAUGCCACAUUUGGUCUCUAUAUCCUUUCUGUCACAGGAAACCAUCUCACACCCAGACCAGGAAAGGUAAAUUCACUUGGCUGUCCCAUAUCUCUAAGGGAACUGAUGCAUGAGUGGACUAGAGAAAGGAAAGAGAGAAAACCUCCAAAGACCUACAGACCAUCUUGCUGGCAGGGUCAAGUUUUCUUCAGACUGAGGCAGAAUUGGGGCUUGUGGACAUCUGAUCUGAUAGACUUGCUUACUCCAAGUCUCUGUGGCCUUAACAGGGAUUCAGUUAUUGACAUGUAG
rnacentral:lncRNA from 1 species